UGGGGAAUAUUGCACAAUGGGCGCAAGCCUUAUGCAGCCAUGCCGCGUGUAUGAAGAAGGCCUUCGGGUUGUAAAGUACUUUCAGCGGGGAGGAAGGGAGUAAAGUUAAUACCUUUACUCAUUGACGUUACCCGCAGCAGAAGCACCGGCUAACUCCGUGCCAGCAGCCGCGGUAAUACGGAGGGUGCAGGCGUUAAUCGGAAUUACUUGGCGUAAAGCGCACGCAGGCGGUCUGUCAAGUCGGAUGUGAAAUCCCCGGGCUUAACCUGGGAACUGCAUUCGAAAAUGGCAGGCUAGAGUCAUGUAGAGGGGGGUAGAAUUCCAGGUGUAGCGGUGAAAUGCGUAGAGAUCUGGAGGAAUAACGGUGGCGAAGGCGGCCCCCUGGACAAAGACUGACGCUCAGGUGCGGAAGCGUGGGGAGCAAACAGG
rnacentral:rRNA from 1 species